GAUCACCAGGAGAGAUUGGUCUGU
rnacentral:siRNA from 1 species